GCCGGGCGCGGUGGCGCACGCCUGUAGUCCCAGCUACUCGGGAGGCUGAGACAGGAGGAUCGCUUGAGUCCAGGAGUUCUGGGCUGUAGUGCGCUAUGCCGAUCGGGUGUCCGCACUAAGUUCGGCAUCAAUAUGGUGACCUCCCGGGAGCGGGGGACCACCAGGUUGUCUAAGGAGGGGUGAACCGGCCCAGGUCGGAAACAGAAGUUCAAGGAUAUCCUGGGACUACACAGUGUUUCGAGGUCAGCUCUCGAGACAUAAGAAUAUUCUUCUCAACUAAAGAUAUCAUAGUCUGUCUUCU
rnacentral:SRP_RNA from 14 species